AAAUAUAAUUUUAAUAAUUUUUGUUUGAAAUUAAUUUAAAAAAAAUAAAGUAUUAAAAAUUAUUUAAAUAAAUUUUAGUAUAAAUUAGAAAAAAAAUGAAAUUUUAUAGUUAAAUUGUAUAGUAUUAGAAUAAUUAUUUAUAAAUAUUUAUUUUUAUAAAAGUAUUAUUUUUUUUAAGUAUCUUGGGUAUCAGAGUUUAUUAAAUAAAAUUUAUUUAAUUAAAAUUCUCGAAAAUAAAAGAGUUAUUUAGUUAUAGAAGUUAAUAUGGAAUUAUUAUUUUAAAUAAUUAAAUAGAAAUGAAAUGUUAUUCGUUUUUAUAAAUAUCUAGUUUAAAAAUAAAUAAAUUUAAUUUAAGUUUAGAUUUAAUAUAUAUAUAUAUAUAUAUAUAUAUAUAUAUAAUUUAGAAUUAAUAAUUUAAGGGAUAAGCUUUAAAUUAAAAUUUUAUAUUAAUUAUAAAAUAAUUUUUAAAAUUUAUAUAAAUAAUAUUUUUAAUUGAUUAAAUUUUUUUAUAAAUAUUUUUAUGGGAAUUAAUAUUUUAUAUAAAAAUUAAAUUAAAUAUUUUUUAAAAAAAAAACUUUAAAAUUUUUGUUAUAAUGAUAAAAUUAGUAUAUUUAUAAUUUAUAAAAAAUAUUUUAUAUUUUUUAUAAAAAAUUAAUUUAAAGAAUUCGGCAAAUUAAUUAUAUUUACCUGUUUAACAAAAACAUGUCUUAAUGAUAAUAAUUUUAAGUCUAAUCUGCCCACUGAAUUUGUAUUUAAAGGGCCGCAGUAUUUUGACUGUGCUAAGGUAGCAUAAUAAUUAGUUUUUUAAUUGGAAACUAGAAUGAAUGAUUGGAUAAAAUAUAAGCUGUUUUAAAUUAAUUUAAUUAGAAUUUAAUUUUUUAGUGAAAAAGCUAAAAUUUUAAUAAAAGACGAGAAGACCCUAUAGAUCUUUAUAUUUAAAUAAGAUUAUAAUUUUAUUAUCUAUUAUAAAUUUAUUUAAAUAUUAAAUUGGGGUGAUUAAAAAAUUUAGUUAAUUUUUUUAUUAUGUAACCAAUAAUUUUUGAUUAAAUUAUCUAUUAUUAAUUAAUAAAGAAAAAGUUACCUUAGGGAUAACAGCAUAAUUUUAAUUUUAAGUUCUUAUUGAAAUUAGAGAUUGUGACCUCGAUGUUGGAUUAAGAUAAAAUAUAAAUGCAAAAGUUUAAAAUUUAAGUCUGUUCGACUUUUAAAAUCUUACAUGAUCUGAGUUCAGACCGGCGUGAGCCAGGUUGGUUUCUAUCUUUAUUUAGAUAAAAUAUUUUAGUACGAAAGGAUUUAAUAUUUGUAUAUUAUUUUAUAUAUUUUAAAUUGAAUUAUAAUAAUAA
rnacentral:rRNA from 1 species